AGACCCGCGGGGUGCCAGAAGGUUAUUCUUGGAGCCACUGACCAAAUCCAAACCUGGGCCGAUUAGCUGUGGACACGGUGAUGUCAGGGAAGGGCCAUCUCCUUAGGAGGACGUGGGGCCACCCAGGAAAUCGGGGUGCCUUGUGCAGUCCCAGGUGGCUCUGGGGACAGUGCGUGUGUGGCUGUGUCCCUACUGAGUCCAUUCACAGGUCCCCAGGGCCUGCUCUCUGCCCUACCCACAAGGAGUCCGCCAACCACGUUAGCAAGGGCUGCCCGAGAAACCAAGGCUCAGAGAGGUUGCCCAGCUAGCUGAAGUCACACAGCAAGUGCCCAGCCGAGCUGGGAAGCUCCCCUGCUCCCUCCACCCCAGUGACAAGGUCACACAGACCCGUGACACUGGGGGGUGGCUCCCUCAGAGCCGUCACACCUACCUGCGUCUCGUGACCCCCGCACUCAUCCUCGCUGUUCCCUUUUCUUGGCAGAAGAAACCCAGAACGUGCUGUAUCUCGGCCAUUUCUGCUGGUGGUUUUCAUUAUCCACGUUCCUUCUCGGUCCAAGUUCAAGAUAAGCAGGAGCCAUUCUGCUUUCCUGGGCAGCAGGAUCUGAGCCGGAGAUGGGAUCGGUGUGUCACACAGGUAAACUGGCAAGCGAAUGAUGAGGAGACUCCAGCCACCCCAAGAAGGGACAGCUUUGGUUGACACCCAGCAUGAGCUACGACACGUGAUCCAGAAGGAGCAUCGCAGGAGAAUUCACAACGCAAAACAGACUAGUUCAGCCCUCCCUCUUCCAAGUUUCCCUAAAGGCCACUCCUCUGAAGGACACACAGAAGCUGGGCUCUUUGGACGGGAGACCAUGGCAUCCAGUAUGAUGGAAGACGGGUGGACGUGGAGCUCAACAGGCCUGGCUGGUUUCCUGUGUGACUUUGAAGAAGGAUCCUCCUCUGGGCCUCAUGUGUCAACUAAGAGAUCACAGAACCUUCCUUGCUGGCUUCAGGGAUGACCAAACAGAUGCCCAUCAUCGUGGCUGGCCCAGGAAAUGAUGCCCCACCUUCCCCGGAAGGGAUUUAUUAUGUAGGAGAGGCUGAGCGUGCCAGGGCCACCUGGGGGAGGGGACUGAGGGUGGGCAUGGGGCUGUGGGUGGCAGUGACUCAGCCAGGUUGACAGGCAUCAUCAGGAGGCCGAGUCUCCAUACUGAGCUCCUGGGACGGGGCCACUUGGAUGAGCUGCUGUUUGCAAAGUCCUGGCCAAGCCUGUCACCUCUCCAGCUUCUCCACGUUCCCAGAAGCCACUGGCCCAGAGCCUCCGCGCAGCGCUUCCAGAACAGAGCAACCAAGCUCUGCCCCUGGCUGCUCAGGGGUCUGCGUGGGACUCGGGGGAGAGGGGGAAGUGGACACGGGGCGGGGAAUGGCGGGUCCCUAGAGGUGAGCAUGAGACCCUGCAGCCAAGCCAUGGAGAUCUGAGUCCUGGCACCGGAGGUCACCACCCAGAGAGCUGUCCCCUCCUGUGGGAUGGGGUGACGACUGGGAACUGAAUCUGUUGUGCACCGUGGAAAUACACAUGUGCACAACGUGGCCACUGUGCAAAGAAGGAAGAGGCCCUGUGGGGUAGGUGCGUUAGGGCAUCUCUCGAUUCUGCCUGUCCUCCAGGGAAGAGCCACGACCAGCCAGGAACAUGCACAUCACAGGGGGCCCGUAUGUCAACAAGACCUCUGACAGGCGCCCCCGUGCUCCUAGGGCCCCGCAAACACAGCAGGACACGACACCAGGCAGCGAGUGGGGAGAGAUGGAUGCCCAGGAGGCCGAGGCAGGAGGAUCCCAAGUUUGAGGCUAGCCUCGGCAACUCAGUUUGGCCCUAAGCAACUUGGUGAGACCCCGACUCAAAAUAAAAUAUAACAAAAGGGCUGAGGAGGCGGCUUA
ensembl:lncRNA